rnacentral:rRNA from 1 species
CUACGGGAGGCAGCAGUGGGGAAUAUUGGACAAUGGGCGAAAGCCUGAUCCAGCAAUGCCGCGUGAGUGAAGAAGGCCUUCGGGUUGUAAAGCUCUUUUACCCGGGAAGAUAAUGACUGUACCGGGAGAAUAAGCCCCGGCUAACUCCGUGCCAGCAGCCGCGGUAAUACGGAGGGGGCUAGCGUUGUUCGGAAUUACUGGGCGUAAAGCGUACGUAGGCGGCUUUGUAAGUCAGAGGUGAAAGCCCACGACUCAAUCGUGGAACUGCCUUUGAGACUGCUUCGCUUGAAGAUGGGAGAGGUUAGUGGAAUUCCGAGUGUAGAGGUGAAAUUCGUAGAUAUUCGGAAGAACACCAGUGGCGAAGGCGGCUAACUGGACCAUUCUUGACGCUGAGGUACGAAAGCGUGGGGAGCAAACAGGAUUAGAUACCCUGGUAGU